rnacentral:rRNA from 1 species
GAGUUUGAUCCUGGCUCAGAAUGAACGCUGGCGGCGUGCUUAACACAUGCAAGUCGAGCGAGAAAGCUCCUUCGGGAGUGAGUACAGCGGCGGACGGGUGAGUAAUACGUGAGAAUCUACCCUUUAGUGAAGAAUACCUCCGAGAAAUUGGAGUUAAUUCUGCAUAAGUCCCUUCGGGGAGAAAGAUGGCCUCUUUGCUGUCGCUAAAGGAUGAGCUUGCGCGCUAUUAGCUUGUUGGUGGGGUAAAGGCCUACCAAGGCAAUGAUGGCUAGCCGGCCUGAGAGGGUGUACGGCCACACUGGAACUUAGACACGGUCCAGACUCCUACGGGAGGCAGCAGUGGGGAAUAUUGCGCAAUGGGCGAAAGCCUGACGCAGCGACGCCGCGUGGGGGAUGAAGGCUUUAGAGUCGUAAACUCCUGUUAAGUGGGAAGAAAAGCGUAGUCUUAAUACGGCUAAGCAAUGACGGUACCAUUAGAGAAAGCACCGGCUAACUUCGUGCCAGCAGCCGCGGUAAUACGAGGGGUGCAAGCGUUAUUCGGAGUCAUUGGGCGUAAAGGGUGCGUAGACAGCAUGCUAAGUUACUUGGGAGUACGGUCGCAAGGCUAAAACUCAAAGGAAUUGACGGGGGCCCGCACAAGCGGUGGAACAUGUGGUUUAAUUCGAUAAUACGCGAGGAAUCUUACCUAGGCUUGACAUGCUUUUGACAGUUGUAGAAACACAAUCUUCUGGGUUUCGGUCCAGACAAUUGCACAGGUGCUGCAUGGCUGUCGUCAGCUCGUGUCGUGAGAUGUUGGGUUAAGUCCUUUAACGAGCGCAACCCCUGCCGUUAGUUGCUACUCACUUUGUGAGGCACUCUAGCGGGACUGCCUGGGAAACCAGGAGGAAGGUGGGGAUGACGUCAAGUCAUCAUGGUCCUUACGCCUAGGGCUACACACGUGUUACAAUGGCCAGUACAGAGGGGGGCGAAUCCGCAAGGAGGAGCAAAUCCCAAAAAGCUGGUCUAAGUUCGGAUUGGGGUCUGCAACUCGACCCCAUGAAGUUGAAAUCGCUAGUAAUCGCGCAUCAGCAACGGCGCGGUGAAUACGUUCUCGGGCCUUGUACACACCGCCCGUCACACCACGAAAGUUGUUUGUACCCGAAGUCAUCUUAGCUAACCCGUAAGGGAGGCGGGUGCCUAAGGUAUGGGUGGCGAUUGGGGUGAAGUCGUAACAAGGUAGCUGUAGGAGAACCUGCGGCUGGAUCACCUCCUUUCU